rnacentral:lncRNA from 10 species
CUUCCUCAUUUUCUCCUGCUGCUGCCAUGUAAAAGUGCCUUUCACCGCUUGCCAUGAUUCUGAGGCCUCCCUAGCCAGGUGGAACUGUUUCUACAAUAAAUCAAGACUGCACAAAAAUAUUUGGAUGCUGUAUGGAAAACAACUUUUACCAGGUCUCCAACUGGCAUAAAAUGUUUUCAAGUAUGAAAACAUCUCUGGGCUUCCUCAACAGGCUGACAGAUCCCUGCAGGACCAAAGAUCAUAUGAUAUAUAUUAGAAGGUAAUGAUCAGUUUAUCACUUGAACAAAAACACCCACACCAAGACAACUAUUACUUUGGAUUAUCGGCAGCAACAAAUAUUCACUUGGAUAAAAUCACGAAUUUUACUUAUAAGUGCAUAAUACACUUUAUUAAAAAAUGCAAUCUGAAGGAAUUCCUACCACAUCAGAACUCCUGGGCUCAUCAGAGUUGGGAAGUUAAUACUCAUUUCGGCAUCUGGUCCAAAUAAAGAAUUGAAUAAACUCAUAAAUCCACUAGAAAGGCUACAGAGUCUUGUCAUCCAGGCUGAAGUGCAGUGGCUUGAUCUUGGCUCACUGCAACCUCCACCUCCCAGGUUCAAGCGAUUCUCCUGCCUCAGCCUCCCGAGUAGCUAGGAUUACAGGCACAUGCCAACACGUCUGGCUAAUUUUUGUAUUUUUAGUAGAGAUGGGGUUUUGCCGUACUGGCCACGCUGGUCCUGAACUCCUGACCUCAGGUGAUCCACCUGCCUCAUCCUCCCAAAGUGCUGGGAUUACAGGUAUAAGCCACCACGCUCAGCCCCAGUGCAUGAGUUUUAACAGAAGUUUCUGCAAUUAGUACUAUUUUAAUAAUAACGCUUCUUCUAGAACAGAAAUGUCACUUCAACCACAGAAAUACAUACGUGUUGAGUAAGCUAAAGGGCUAUUAUGCUACCAUACGCUGAAAAAAUGAGAAAGCACUUGUCUUGCAGGUACUUGCAAUUAUUCUUUCCUCAAUCAGCCCUUCCUUCUCCCACUUACGUUUGUUUUAAAGAUAUUCUGCUGCAAUUAGGGGGGUGAGAACCUAGUAGAAUUACACAAUAUAAUAAUGUGAUGUUUUCUUCUUUUUAAAUAAGUUUACUACUCCCCCAACCAAGUAAAUAACUUAAGGGUACACUGUUAUGCUUAAGGAAGUCAAAAUGAUGAUUUCAAAAAUAAAUACCCUCCUCUUCAGAAGCUGAUUAAUACAGUGCCAUAACUCCUUUUGAGAAUCAAUGGAAGAUUCAGCGGCUUUUCAUCAGGAAGGAAGCAGAAGGGAUAAGGAUUUGGCAUGCUUCAAAUUGAGAGGAAAAAUUACCACUGUUGUGAUAGAUGGUUUGAAAAACCCAUCAAGUGGGUAACUAGAUCUUAUAGCCAGACUGCAGCCAUCAGGAAUUCUAACUCCAAAAAAACUUCUUCAAGUUGAAGAAAACGCAGAUAAUGAGUAAGAAAACAUUCUGCAGAUUCAUUUGUAUUGCAGAGGAAUUACUUCCAAUGUUCUUCCAGUCCUGGCCCCUAGUAUAAACUGCUGUUGAUAGGAGAUGCAGUGAGUUGUCUCCCAGAAACUUGAAAGUGAGGGAAAUAAGAUCACCUUCAAAGAUGUAUGCUGUGAAAUCAUCAUAUAAAUGAUCCAAGCAGAAAUGGCUACAGUCAUCUUAUAGCAGUAGCAGAGCUUGGGGCCUGAGUGUGUGUGGCAGACUCAACAGAGGUGACAUUAACCUGACUUACCAUGUUAGCAUAUCUGAAGAGUGGAAGAACUAGCUAAUCAGAAGGUGGAAGCCUCACAAAAGGAGCAUCCUGACACAUAUGGUGACAGUACCGUCCUAGCAUGGUCUCAAGAGCGGGAGUGGUAACCCGCAAACUUUCAGACCUUCAGUGUCCUGUUGGCAUGAAGAAGGCUGACCCUGAGGCAGGAUGGAUGGGUCAGGAUGUUUCAGCCCGAUGUUAUUAACAUUCAAGUCAUUCAAAUUUCCUGAUCCCAUGCUCACCAAGCAACCUCCUGAUUAUUAUCUGGCUCUGCACAUAGACUUAAUUACAGGAAAGAUAAUACACUGGCCAUAAGGACUUGAAUAAUCUGAACACCAUGACAGUUAUUUCAUAUUGUGGUUGAAUAGACAGGCAGUUGGCCACAAUAUAUCUCCCUACAUAGCUGCUGUCUCCAAGGGGAGAAUUUGCUGCUUAUGUGCUGGGUCUCAGGGAAAAGAUAAUGACUGUAGCAGGUAAUUGCACUGCUGCUUACUACGUGGCUGGCACUGUCUAAAUGCCUUACAUGUACUAAUUCAUUUAAUUUUUAUGACCAUCCUAUGACGUCAAUAAUCAGGCUGAUUUUACAGAUGGAGGAAACUCAAACACAUAGAAGCUGAGUAACUUGCCCAAGAUCAUCUCAGUCUGUUGGGAAGGAAACUGGAGCCCAGAGUCCAGGUACCAGAAUUCAGGCCCAUCGCCACCGUUCUAUACUGUCUUUCCAUUUAUUUCAGGCCCUGAACUUUAUUAUUCAGCCCUCAAAUUAAAAAAAAAAAAAACUAUGAAAAUUAAAAUUUUUUUCAACAUGUACCUGCAAUAUGACCUACUGUGAUCUGAAUUAACUUGGUGGCAAAACUGUACUGAAACUUGUGUGAGGGUAUUAUUUAUAGUCUUACUUCAUCCCAGUUGCUGAGAAUAAUCAUGUUUGCUGUAGAAACAUUAAAAUGUUUGAUUAAAUGGUGUUGCCUAAUAUUCUGCUGUGGGUAUUGUUGUAAUAUAUGUGCACUGUAUUACCUUUGUAAAAUCCUAAAGAUGUUGAAUUCCAAAUCAUAUCUGGUCAGAUGAGGGACCACAGACAAUAGAUCAGUGGUUGUACCUGAAUAACUUGGUAUUCCGGUUUUCAACACUGGGCCUACAGCUUGGUCAUACACAUAUGUGGAAGAACCUCUCUUACUGCGCUGACAAAAUUAGGAUUCUGAGCCAGAAAGGCUGGUAGUCAAGCCACCCAGGCAGUAAAUAACCCUCGGGGAGGCCUGUGAAAAUCCGCCAUCCGAUAUGCUAUCUAGAUGGUUCGAUUGGCCAUGAGCACCAGUGAGACUUUUUCCCAUUAAAGUUCCUCCAAGAACUCAGAUGGUCUCUCCUGUAGGAGAUUGAAGGCUCUUGUGUUGGAGCUGGUGACCUGUGAAGGCCACAUAUUCCAGGAGAUACAAGAAUAUCAAUGGGAAGCCAGUGUAGCCACGUGCACAUUACAGGGCUAUUAGGUUUACUUAUCCACUCACAAAAGUAAUUCCACAAAUGGGCUGGGCGUGGUGGCUCACACCUGUAAUCCCAGCACUUUGGGAAGCUGAGGCAGGUGGAUCACCUGAGGUCAGAAGUUCGAGAGCAGCCUGACCAACAUGGU